CGGCGAAACCACCCCGUGCGGUGGUCCCGAGGGCUGGCAUCCCUCGGCUGACGAGCCUGCCCAAC
rnacentral:hammerhead_ribozyme from 2 species